rnacentral:snoRNA from 1 species
CCUUUUAAAAGCACUCAGUGGGCCUUUUCCUGGUGACUCACUGAGCUGUCAAGACAAAGCAGCAUAUAAACAUCGCUUUUGGGUAAGCGGCAGCAUCUUGUGUUGUUUUGCUUCAAUCGGUGGUAUGACAAGG